GACGUAGGGGGCGAGCGUUAUUCGGAAUUAUUGGGCGUAAAGCGCUCGUAGGCGGGAUCGAUAGUCCGUGAAGAAAGACCUGGGCUCAACUCAGGGAACGGCACGGAUACUACGAUUCUUGAGGCAAUCAGAGGGUGAUGGAAUUCCCGGUGUAGCGGUGAAAUGCGUAGAGAUGUGGAGGAACACCGAUGGCGAAGGCAGCCCCCUGGGCUAACACUGACGCUCAUGCACGAAAGCGUGGGGAGCAAACAGG
rnacentral:rRNA from 1 species